ACUGGUGGCAUAGGGCUCGCGACUCUGCCAAUGGGGAAGAGGGGGGCACUCCGCGUACGCCGAGUUACCUUCGAAAGGGACGAUUUUGAGGCGGGUCUCCCAGAGAAGGGGGCGAUUUCGGCGAAGGAGAGGAGUGGGGACGCCGAUGGGUGUUGUGGUGGUCGGACGGUUGUGAUCUUUGGGCUGUGGGCAGUGCUCAUGUACUAUGUCAUCCGGAUCGCCCCCAACCAGUCACUGGACAAAGAUUGGUACUACGUUCAGAAACUAUUUUUUCUGAAAGGAGAUGAUGGUUUUGUGAUGAACCAAGUCCUAAUAGCCGCAUGGUAUAUUUUGGGUCUGUUGCCCCUUGCGUAUGGCUUGUUGUUGGUUCCUACUGGAAGAAGUUCAAGAUAUAAAGUUCUUGUCUGGCCUUUACUAAUUGCUUCCUUCUUCGGUGGUUCAUAUGCUCUACUUCUUUAUUUCCUUAUUUGGAAGCCUCCGCCACCAGAUGUUACAGAAGAGGAGCUCAAUAGUCGGUCUGUAAAGUUUGCGGAUUCAAAGAUUACUGCUGCAAUUACAACUGUUGCAGGUUUGGGUCUAUAUGUAUAUGGCGGUAUAGCCGAUGGAGCAGUGUGGAUUGAGCUCUACCAAUACUUCCAAGAAAGCUGGCUUGUUCAUGUAGCAAUCCUCGACAUAUUUAUACACUCAUUCCUCGGGCUAUUCUGGGUGUAUAAUGACAUGCGUGAAAGGGGAUGGAUUCACAAAGGCGCUUGGCUUUUGCCGUUCACACUGAUUCCAUUAGUCGGACCGUCAUUUUACGCUCUUUUACGCCCUCCUCUGUCAGCGCUUCCCGUGUUUACCUCUUCCACCAGCACUAAGAAUGACUAAGAUGCAGUUUGGUGCUGUUGCCCGUUCCCUUCAGUCGAGUUUUCAUGGCUUUUAGCGGUUUCUCCAUGUUGAAUUCUUGAUUGUAUCUACUUGCCUCCCAUUUGGAUGUUCGGGAAUCCAGCUCAAGGCAAAGAAAAAUAAAAGAAGAAUUCGUCGAUAAUGAUGAUACAGAGAGGGGAGCAAAUUGAGCUCUAGGCCUGUUUACUUCGAAGGAGCCUUAAGGGCCUUUUGCUAAAAGAAAGUCAUCGACUUCUUAACUCAAGCUCAAGCCUGAUCGAGCAGUGUCUAAGCUCGAUCAAGCCUAAAGGAUGCUGCUUCAUCACCAUUUCUUCAUUCAUGGUUUACAAUUAUCAAUCAUUUUAUAGAAAUUGCUACUUGCACAUGAAGAUAUAACACUAUAUUAAUAAAUGUAAGUAUGUUUCAUGAUAUUCUAAUAAAUCAAAGAUUGGUGG